AAUUCUCAAACCUUCUUGGUUUCUUGAUCAAGAUGGCUUUGGACUUUGGAGGCAUUUGCUGGCUUUGCGAAAAGCCAGCUCCUCUUAAAUGCAUUAGUGGGGUCCCCUUUGCCGAUCCCCAGGCGUGAUAAGAUGUUUCUACGUCUUGGGAUUUGCUCUGUUCCUUGGGAACCUGCCUCUAACCGUCUCAUGGAAGACAUUGUUCGAGCUUGCUCGACCCACGAA
rnacentral:misc_RNA from 1 species